rnacentral:rRNA from 1 species
GACGAACGCUGGCGGCGCGCCUAACACAUGCAAGUCGAACGAGAGAGAGGAAGCUUGCUUCCUCAAUCGAGUGGCGAACGGGUGAGUAACGCGUGAGGAACCUGCCUCAAAGAGGGGGACAACAGUUGGAAACGACUGCUAAUACCGCAUAAGCCCACAGGUCGGCAUCGACCAGAGGGAAAAGGAGCAAUCCGCUUUGAGAUGGCCUCGCGUCCGAUUAGCUGGUUGGUGAGGUAACGGCCCACCAAGGCAACGAUCGGUAGCCGGACUGAGAGGUUGAACGGCCACAUUGGGACUGAGACACGGCCCAGACUCCUACGGGAGGCAGCAGUGGGGAAUAUUGCACAAUGGGGGAAACCCUGAUGCAGCGACGCCGCGUGGAGGAAGAAGGUCUUCGGAUUGUAAACUCCUGUUGUUGAGGAAGAUAAUGACGGUACUCAACAAGGAAGUGACGGCUAACUA